AUUAAUAUGUUUUUAAUUCAAUUGCUAUUAUUUCCCAUCCGUCCACCCACUCUUACUACUACCCAGGCACCGUGCACUCGUCUACUAUUCGUCCCGUCUAUAAUCGAAUUCCCGGCCUGAAAUCUAAACGACUCGGACGGCGACGUCGAUGACGAUGACGACGAUGGCAUUUGCUCCGUACCGUCGUCGUUGUCCUCGCUAUAAUAUCGCGGAAAAUUAAAGUGCCGGUCUCGGCAUGCGGUUAUUAUAAUUUAUAGUAUUAUACAGGUACGCGAGAAUAUAAAACGAAAUAUGGGUUA